rnacentral:rRNA from 1 species
UACGUAGGGGGCAAGCGUUGUCCGGAAUCAUUGGGCGUAAAGCGCGUGUAGGCGGUUCAGUAAGUCUGCUGUGAAAGUCCAGGGCUCAACCCUGGGAUGCCGGUGGAUACUGCUGGGCUAGAGUACGGAAGAGGCGAGUGGAAUUCCCGGUGUAGCGGUGAAAUGCGCAGAUAUCGGGAGGAACACCUAUUGCGAAGGCAGCUCGCUGGGACGUUACUGACGCUGAGACGCGAAAGCGUGGGGAGCAAACGGG